GCCUGGGUGGCUCAGUUGGGUAAGCGUCCGACUUCAGCUCAGGUCACGAUCUCGCGGUCCGUGAGUUCGAGCCCCGCCUCGGGCU
rnacentral:tRNA from 1 species